GUGCUCACUUUGGCAGCACUAAAAUUGGAACUAUACAGAGAUUAGCAUGGCCCCUGUGCAAAGAUGACAUGCAAAUUUGUGAAGAGUUCCAUCUUUAA
rnacentral:snRNA from 1 species